rnacentral:rRNA from 1 species
UCGCAUUGGUCUCAAACCAAUGACAUGCAUUUUGAAGACCAUGAGUUCGAGGUGGACGAGGAGGGUGAGGGCAUUGUCGACGCACCGAAAGAAAGAGCGGGCAAUUACACCAACGCCGAUGACAUCUUACUAUGCAAUACAUGGUUGCAAGUGUCGAGGGAUCCAUCCGUUGGAGGUGAUCAAAGUAGAGAUGCUUAUUGGAACCGGAUGAAGGAACACUUUGAUGCUCGCAACGUGAGUGGAAUUGACCGCUCCAACCGAUCACUUAGGUCCCGAUGGUCGACAAUCAACUCGGAUUGUCAAAGGUGGGCGGCCUGUCAAAAGGCGGUUGACAAG